rnacentral:lncRNA from 1 species
AGGAUCUGAAGACGUUUAACUAGACUUGGAGGUAGACUGUGUAAUGGAGCGUGAAAAAACAUUUUAGUCUGACCAUGUGCUCUAUAAUAUCAGAUCAAUCAGCCAUCUGGCUUGGGAAAAUGGAAUCAUCUUGAUUACCGAAGUGUGCGGAUCCCUCCGGGAGCUGCAGUUAGCUGCUGAGCGUCUCUGAGGAGUGCCCUGCUCUCCUCGCGUGUCCUUCACAGCAGCCUGCUGACAAGUCUCGACACAAGACAGACACAAAUCAAUAGCGUGUUUUUAAAUGUUACUGAGAUGGAAUUUCAGGGAGCCUUCAUGUUAAUGUCAUUUGGCACUUACAUGGAGUAAACAGCAGACGAGGAAAAGCAGACUUGAAUUUGGCUCCAAGAGAGUGAUGCGAAUCCAGGCCCGGCACCUAUUUAACUCCCUGAGGUUGGUUAUGUCCCUGCUGUGAUCAGUGCAUCAACUGGGGGUAUUGCUGCUCCUGGGACUAACUCCUGUAUGCUUUAUAACUUCUGGAGUCCUCAGCAUGCCAGACGCACAGGCUGUCACAAUCUGAAGUUCUUCAUAAUGUGUGCUGUGGAAAGGAGAUGGCCUGUGCUUGAGCCGUAAAACUGAUGGGCUCCAGAGUUGGAUUUGUUGUGCAGGUACAGUUGGUUUACAGCACACAUGGUCAGCCUGACCCUUCCCAAAAGAGAUCUGAGCAUCACCACUGAUUUCGGCAUUCAGAGCUGCUGGAGUGUGACAUAUUCCACGAUUCCUCCCUGCCUGGCUGGUGAAAGCACUUCUCUGCUCCGGAGCGAGCCCCGCGACCCGGCACUUCCCUCCAACAAAGAGCUGGAGACAGACUGCGCCUGCAGGACUCAUCCUAAUGGGAACCAAUUUCGGGAGACAGCCUAG